rnacentral:rRNA from 1 species
UGGUGGUGGUGGUGUGCCGUCGCCGAAACUACUUUUGCUGUUGUUGCGUUGCUACUACUAUCUUAAUAUUUUUGUUCUGUGUGCAGUUGUCGUAUGUUUUCGAAAGGGAAUCCGGUUGAUAUUCCGGAACCGAGUAACGGAGACAAAGAGUAGCGCUUUAAUCUCUUUCGGGUUGGCGUUCAACUCAAUCGCGCGGUAACGCAAGCGAACUCGGAAAAUGACCGUCGUGAGUUUCGAAAAGAGUUUUCUUUUCUUUUUAAGGGACGCAUUCCCUGGAACCGGGUUGUCCGGAGAUAGGGAUUCUGGUAUCCAUAAAACGCCGACUCUUUCACGGUGUUCGGAGCGCUCUCGUCGGUACGUGAAAAUCCGAGCGACGCCUGGUAAAUCUCGUACUUGGUCGUACUGAUAUCCGCAGCAGGUCUCCAAGGUGAAUAGCCUCUGGCCGAUAGAAUAAUGUAGGUAAGGGAAGUCGGCAAAACGGAUCCGUAACUUCGGAACAAGGAUUGGCUCUAAGGGCUGGGCCGAUCGGGCUGAGGUUUCAAGCGUGCAGUGUAUGCUUGGCUGAGUUGUGUUGAGGAUUGAUUCGCUUGGUGCCGUUUGUUGAACCAAUCGGCUUGCCAGGUGGUCAUGUCUGAAGCAAAGCUGGCCGACAGACCGGCACGUGCAGAACCUGAGCUGCGCGGCUGUCAGUUCAUUUGUACAGACCGUUUCGGUCGGCAUUCAACAGCCAACUUAGAACUGGCACGGACACAAGGAAUCUGACUGUAUAAUUAAAACAAAGCAUUGCGAUGGCCGAUGAUCGGUGUUGACGCAAUGUGAUUUCUGCCCAGUGCUCUGAAUGUCAAAGUGAAGAAAUUCAAUCAAGCGCGGGGUAGCCAAAUGCCUCGUCAUCUAAUUAGUGACGCGUAUGAAUGGAUCAACAAGAUUCCUUCUGUCCCUAUCUACUAUCUAGCGAAACCACAGCCAAGGGAACGGGCUUGGCAAAAUCAGCGGGGAAAGAAGACCCUGUUGAGCUUGACUCUAGUCUGACUCUGUGAAGAGACAUGAAAGGUGUAGCAUAGGUGGGAGGCUGCAGUAGGGCGCUGUUCGGUGUCUCUGUGGUCGCCAAUGAAAUACCACUACUUUGAUCGUUUCUUUACUUAUUCGGUAAAGCGAAAAAAUUGUGGCCAAUUUGGCGGUCUGUCCGCUGUUGGUCAUUGUUUUAAUGUUGGAUUGAAGCUUUGUUUAUAGCCGUCGCUUUGUGUCGCCGUUUGACGCAUUGGCUGGGUGCGUAUUUGUGCGCGCGCGGUAAUGUUGUCAGCGGAUGAUCGGCGAUUGGUUUGAAGUGAUUCGCUCCGGAAACAGUGUCAGACGGGGAGUUUGACUGGGGCGGUACAUCUGUUAAACGAUAACGCAGGUGUCCUAAGGUAAGCUCAGCGAGGACAGAAACCUCGCCUAGAGUAAACGGGCACAAGCUUACUUGAUUUUGAUUUCCAGUACGAAUAAAAACCGCGAAAGCGUGGCCUAUCGAUCCUUUUGAUUGUGUAGAUUUCACGCAAGAGGUGUCAGAAAAGUUACCACAGGGAUAACUGGCUUGUGGCAGCCAAGCGUCCAUAGCGACGUUGCUUUUUGAUCCUUCGAUGUCGGCUCUUCCUAUCAUUGCGAAGCAGAAUUCGCCAAGCGUUGGAUUGUUCACCCACCAAUAGGGAACGUGAGCUGGGUUUAGACCGUCGUGAGACAGGUUAGUUUUACCCUACUGAUGACAAGUCGUUGCGAUAGUAAUCCUGCUCAGUACGAGAGGAACCGCGGGAUCAGACAUUUGGUUCAUGCGCUCGGCUGAAAGGCCGGUGGCGCGAAGCUAGCAUCUGCAAGAUUAUGACUGAACGCCUCUAAGUCAGAAUCUUUUCUAGUCAUUGGCAACGAUAAGUUGCGUCCGGACUCGAUGCGAGGAAACGAUUAGGCUUUGCUGUGUUUUGCGCAGCGAAGCCGUUAUCAUACCACGGUAGCAGGCAGUUGGGAUGGUUACGAAAAAGCAAUUUUUUGAAGUCAGUUGAAUUCAAUCAAACUGCUAACAAUCCCACUGCGAAUGACUACACUCGAAUCU